GACGAACGCUGGCGGCGUGCCUAAUACAUGCAAGUAGAACGCUGAAGAGAGGAGCUUACUCUUCUUGGAUGAGUUGCGAACGGGUGAGUAACGCGUAGAUAACCUGCCUUGUAGCGGGGGAUAACUAUUGGAAACGAUAGCUAAUACCGCAUAACAAUGGAUGACACAUGUCAUUUAUUUGAAAGGGGCAAUUGCUCCACUACAAGAUGGACCUGCGUUGUAUUAGCUAGUAGGUGAGGUAAUGGCUCACCUAGGCGACGAUACAUAGCCGACCUGAGAGGGUGAUCGGCCACACUGGGACUGAGACACGGCCCAGACUCCUACGGGAGGCAGCAGUAGGGAAUCUUCGGCAAUGGGGGCAACCCUGACCGAGCAACGCCGCGUGAGUGAAGAAGGUUUUCGGAUCGUAAAGCUCUGUUGUAAGUCAAGAACGGGUGUGAGAGUGGAAAGUUCACACUGUGACGGUAGCUUACCAGAAAGGGACGGCUAACUACGUG
rnacentral:rRNA from 1 species